GCUGGAUUAGCUCAGUUGGUAGAGCACAAGACUCUUAAUCUGAGGGUCGUGGGUUCAAGCCCCACAUUGGGCA